AUUGAACGCUGGCGGCAGGCCUAACACAUGCAAGUCGAACGAGUGGCGGACGGGUGAGUAAUGUCUGGGAAACUGUCCGUUGGAGGGGGAUAACUACUGGAAAAGGUAGCGAAUACCGCAUACCCUAGGAGGUGCCCAUAUGGGAUUGUCUUGUAGGGGUGGUAACGGCUCACCUAGGCGACGAUCCCUCGCUGGUCUGAGAGGAUGACCAGCCACACUGGAACUGAGACACGGUCCAGACUCCUACGGGAGGCAGCAGUGGGGAAUAUUGCACAAUGGGCGCAAGCCUGAUGCAGCCAUGCCGCGUGUAUGAAGAAGGCCUUCGGGUUGUAAAGUACUUUCAGCGGGGAGGCGUUACCCGCAGAAGAAGCACCGGCUAACUCCGUGCCAGCAGCCGCGGUAAUAC
rnacentral:rRNA from 1 species